rnacentral:ncRNA from 1 species
UUUCACUUGGGAAGCGAUGAUCCCUGCCUCAGUACACGGUCACCUCAGGGCAGGGGGAGCCAGUGGUGAGCCCGGCCCCAUAGGAG